rnacentral:lncRNA from 1 species
AGCGACGAAAUCGGACGCCAACGCGCCAACCCGCCAACUGCGAAGCUCUUGUUCGGAUGCGUGCUUCAACGCAACUCGGCUGCUAUGUGUGUAAAAUCUGGCUUGUUUUCCACGCCUCGAGAAAUUCCGUUUGCACUGGAGGCCUGGCUUUAGCAUCCGUCACGGACUUUACGGAGAGGUGGAGACAUACAUGAAUAAUGGCUUGUUCGACGGUGCCGCGGACGUCACCGGCGAUCUGAGAGGGCACUGCAAGGAGUGCGAAUGCAAUGGUUUUCAGCGCCUUGUUGAUCUGGCCAUGACAAAGUACCUAUUGGCUGGUGCAUUCUCUGUGGACACUCGCCUGCCUCACAUGGACCUCUCGUCAGCCUCUAAGAAGGUGCCCAAGACGGAUGUCUGCAGGAAGCUGGAUCUUGCAGUGCACCACAAUAGUCUUUUGCUAGACAAAUAUGUGGCCAGUGGUCAACAGACACCACAACUUACCCAGAAAGAGGGCCUGCGCAAUCUGUCGAAGAUUAUUCUUUGACAGUGCACCAGGCAAUGAAGUUCGGCACCCAGGAAGUGCUUCCGCCCCUGUACUGACGCAAGGGGCCGAAGAAAGUUUUCGUUCAAGCACCUCGACCCAGCUACAUCAUAAGUGUGUACACUGCGACUUUUCAUCUUAUUAUUUUAGUCGUUUUCCAUCUCACAUAAAGGUUGCUCAUCGUUCUGUUAAAAAGUACACCUGUGCCCUUUGUAAGGUCACUUUUGCAGCUGUUACCCGUUAGAAACAGCAUUUUGAUGAAUUUCACAUCUUGAUCGUGGCCAGUGAAGAGCAGCAUUUGAUGAGUAGCGACAGUGAAAUGGUCCACCAGGACAUGAGCAUUGAAACUGAGGUCUCAGAAUUUUAGCCGUCUGUGCUCAAUGAUGAAGCAAGGCUCUCCGAUCUGUUCAGGCUUUUGGAGGGUGAGCACAUAUGUGCAAAAAAGCUAUCAGUGCUGUUGUCAAAAACAUUUCGGAAAUGUUCCACGCCAAGGGCCUUCAGCUAGACGCAUCAGGUUUAACUGACAAAGCAGGAAAACGUCAGUAUGAACGUAAUAAUAUAUAUGUUAGACCUUCUAAAAAAAGAGUUCCAAUGGUUCCCAUAGUUAUUAUGUAUCACUAAGGACACUCUUAGAAACCUUGUACCAACAUCCAGAAACAAGUAGCCAUCUUCAGCAAAAGUUUGUCAUCUCUGAAGAUGGUUUCCUCAGGGACCUGUGUGAUUGUUUAAGGUUCAGGCCCCAUGCUAUACUGAAUAAUCAGGACAGUGGCCUUGGCAUGCUUCUAUACUGCGACGAUGUAGAAAUUGCCAACCCUUUGGGCAUGAAACGAGGCAUGCGUGGAAAGCUCACACUGUUUUAUGUAAUAUUUGCCAGCUUUCCUCCCCCAAGCAGGUCUCAGCUGAACUCAAUUUUUUCCUUGCUGUUGGUUAUACGAACGACCUGAAAACACUAGAUGAUAAAGCAGAACUGCUUCAAGAUUUUAUUCAGACAGUGAAUGAACUGUCAGACAAAGGAAUCUCAUUCAAAGUUCAGGAUAGAGAAAUCAAGACCUAUGGCUGUCUCCUUGCAUUUCUCUGUGAUAGUUUAGCAGCACAUAAUAUUGCUGGCUUCAAGGAAUCAUUUACGCCACUCGUUCGUUAUGCGUGCCGCCGCUGCAAUGCACUCACGAGUGAUUUCCCUAAGAUUUGGUUACACUCUGACUGCCGUUUGAGAAGUGACAGUGAAAUUCAAGAUAAAAUUUAAUUGUUGAAGAAAGCAAAUAACUUGGCUGAGCAGAAGGAAAUAUCGGCAGCUACAAGCAUCAAGGAACCCUCAGUGCUUCACCUCGUAACAAGGUUCUCAUUGACUGAGGAUGUACUCUUUGACCCUAUGCAUAUAUUGUAAGGUGUGCUGCCUAAAGAAGUUUUCUUGUUUCUCCGUCACCAAGUACACAUCCGUCGGGUAUUUAGCAGAAAACAACUGAAUGAAGCAUUAAGGAAGUUCAAUUUUCAUUCAUCUUUAAAUUCAGGAGAGCGCUCACGUUUGUUCGAUGCUUCGCUGUCGUAGGUGUCUUCAGCAAGUGCAUUGGGAGUUUUCGUUCUACACCUCACACUUUUUCUGAAUAGCGUUGUUCCUAUCAACCUGCUGGAUCAAUUCUACUAUUGUCUGAUAAUGGCUGUCCAGAGAACACAGCUUGUACUUUCUCCAAUUUUGAGUGUCGAGGCCCUAGGUUU